GGGGGAUUGUCAGUGGCAUUCAUCUUUGUGACUAACUGGGAUUGUGAGAAUGUCAUGCCAAUCUUCAGCAGAGUUCAGAAGCUGAAAGGACAGUUUGCUAACCUUUAUGUUGUUGUAUGCCUUCCAACCAAGGAGCAGAAUGAUUCUUUUGUUCGCUCUUACUUCAAGUAUGGAAUGGAGCUUGGCAAGCCAACGUUUGUGCCA
rnacentral:misc_RNA from 1 species